UUUUUUUACCCUUUGCGGCGCCGUCUUCUUCACCUGUUCGGUAGUUCUCUCAAAAUUUUCAAUGAAUCGGUUGUCAUGGAAGUCAUGACAAGAUUCAUAAUGAAGUUUAUGUCUACGAUGGGCUAUAUAGAUUUUUCUCUUGGAUCUUGAGAAAUUGAAGGAAGAGAUAUUGGUGUCUCGAAUUUCAAUGAUGAUUCAGAUGAGUUCAAAGUAUUUCUAAUCUCUAAAUUUUAUUUGAUUUGUUUAUCUUAAACGAAUGUCUGGAUUUGAAUAAUGUGUUUGUGUUUAUUGUUAUAUAUUAGGAUUUCAUAUUAGAAGGAGUGUUGAAUGUAAUUGUAAAUCUUAAAGAAAUAAAUUAAUAUUAGAAUUGUGUUUUGAA